rnacentral:rRNA from 1 species
UACAGAGGUCUCAAGCGUUGUUCGGAUUCAUUGGGCGUAAAGGGUGCGUAGGCGGCGCGGUAAGUCGGGUGUGAAAUCUCGGAGCUUAACUCCGAAACUGCAUUCGAUACUGCCGUGCUUGAGGACUGGAGAGGAGACUGGAAUUCUCGGUGUAGCAGUGAAAUGCGUAGAUAUCGAGAGGAACACCAGUGGCGAAGGCGAGUCUCUGGACACUUCCUGACGCUGAGGCACGAAAGCCAGGGGAGCAAACGGG